rnacentral:rRNA from 1 species
CGCGUAGGCGGCUCGUGAAGUCGGGUGUGAAAGCCCGGGGCUCAACCCCGGAACGGCAUCCGAUACUGGCGGGCUUGAGACCGGGAGAGGAGGGUGGAAUACCAAGUGUAGAGGUGAAAUUCGUAGAUAUUGGGUGGAACACCGGUGGCGAAAGCGGCUCUCUGGCCCGGAUCUGACGCUGAGGCGCGAAAGCGUGGGGAGCAAACA